GUUCCUACGGGAGGCAGCAGUGGGGAAUAUUGCACAAUGGGGGGAACCCUGAUGCAGCGACGCCGCGUGGGUGAAGGAGUACUUCGGUACGUAAAGCCCUAUCAGCAGGAAAGAAAAUGACGGUACCUGACUAAGAAGCCCCGGCUAACUACGUGCCAGCAGCCGCGGUAAUACGUAGGGGGCAAGCGUUAUCCGGAUUUACUGGGUGUAAAGGGAGCGUAGACGGCGGCGCAAGCCAGAUGUGAAAGCCCGGGGCUCAACCCCGGGACUGCAUUUGGAACUGUGCCGCUAGAGUGUCGGAGAGG
rnacentral:rRNA from 1 species